rnacentral:rRNA from 1 species
AUACGGAGGGUGCAAGCGUUACUCGGAAUCACUGGGCGUAAAGCGCGCGCAGGCGGUCUUUUAAGUUGGAUGUGAAAGCCUACGGCUCAACCGUAGAACUGCAUCCAAAACUAUUAGACUAGAGUGUGGGAGAGGGAGAUGGAAUUAGUUGUGUAGGGGUAAAAUCCGUAGAGAUAACUAGGAAUACCAAAAGCGAAGGCAAUCUUCUGGAACACUACUGACGCUGAGGCGCGAAAGCGUGGGGAGCAAACAGGAUUAGAUACCCCGGUAGUCC